rnacentral:rRNA from 1 species
UACGUAGGGCGCAAGCGUUAUCCGGAAUUAUUGGUCGUAAAGAGCUCGUAGGCGGUUUGUCGCGUCUGCCGUGAAAGUCCGGGGCUCAACUCCGGAUCUGCGGUGGGUACGGGCAGACUAGAGUGAUGUAGGGGAGACUGGAAUUCCUGGUGUAGCGGUGAAAUGCGCAGAUAUCAGGAGGAACACCGAUGGCGAAGGCAGGUCUCUGGGCAUUAACUGACGCUGAGGAGCGAAAGCAUGGGGAGCGAACAGG